rnacentral:rRNA from 1 species
GGCGAACGGGUGAGUAAUACAUCGGAACGUGCCCUGUGAUGGGGGAUAACUACGCGAAAGCGUAGCUAAUACUGCAUACGACCUACGGGUGAAAGUGGGGGAUCGCAAGACCUCACGUCAUAGGAGCGGCCGAUGGCGGAUUAGCUAGUUGGUAAGGUAAAGGCUUACCAAGGCAACGAUCCGUAGCUGGUCUGAGAGGACGACCAGCCACACUGGGACUGAGACACGGCCCAGACUCCUACGGGAGGCAGCAGUGGGGAAUCUUGGACAAUGGGGGCAACCCUGAUCCAGCAAUGCCGCGUGUGGGAUGAAGGCCUUCGGGUUGUAAACCACUUUUGGCGGGGGCGAAAUAUCGAGUGCUAAUACCAUUCGGUGAUGACGGUACCCGCAGAAUAAGCACCGGCUAACUACGUGCCAGCAGCCGCGGUAAUACGUAGGGUGCAAGCGUUAAUCGGAAUUACUGGGCGUAAAGCGUGCGCAGGCGGUUAGGUAAGACAGAUGUGAAAUUCCCGGGCUCAACCUGGGAACUGCAUUUGUGACUGCCUGACUAGAGUGCGGCAGAGGGGAGU